rnacentral:lncRNA from 1 species
AAGAAUAUGGUCCCUGGGUUACCUUUAUUGGAACUAUGUUCCUUUUUAUUUUUGUUUCAAAUUGGUCGGGUGCUCUUUUACCUUGGAAAAUUAUAGAGUUACCCCAUGGGGAAUUAGCAGCGCCUACAAAUGAUAUAAAUACUACCGUUGCUUUAGCUUUACUAACAUCAGCAGCAUAUUUUUAUGCGGGUCUUAGCAAAAAAAGGAUUGAGUUAUUUCGAGAAAUAUAUUAAACCAACCCCAAUCCUUUUACCAAUUAACAUCCUAGAAGAUUUCACAAAACCAUUAUCGCUUAGUUUUUGACUUUUCGGAAAUAUAUUGGCGGAUGAAUUAGUCGUUGUUGUUCUUGUUUCUUUAGUCCCCUUAGUAGUCCCUAUACCGGUCAUGUUUCUUGGAUUAUUUACAAGCGGAGUACGGUUAUCGAUCCUAAAUCACCCACACUCUCUAUAGUGUCUUGGGUGCAAACCGAAAAGCCCUAUUGCAAACCUUUGCCUUGAAUCCGCUUUUUGUUUUCCUCUUUCUUCCUUGCUUGGAGCUUGAUCUCUCAUCUUGAUCUCCACUUUGCUCCACAUCUCCUCGGACCAAUCCAUGUAUCAUGAAACACUUAGCAAACAUGAUUAGUCCUAAUGGUCCCAUUCAAUUACCAAAACCAAACUAAGGCUUUCAAAAGGCAGCUGUAGGCCCGAGUGAGGAGAGAGAAGGACGGGGGCCGCUCGAUGCCCACCAUGGCCGCUCGCGGACACAGAGCCUCACCUUGUAGGCACGCAGGCCGAGUGGCCGACCCGUCGGUAGUCUUGGCACCAUUAUAAACCUCAACUCGCAAGCCACAUCCCAAAGUGAUAGAGACCCAAAGGAGAGAUAGACCCGAACCAAAAUCAUUGACACUGCCUCUGCUUCCAGCCUUCCUCCACUACCGGUGCUUACCUGCUGGCCGGUGGCCGCCGGUGAGGGUGGUGCGGCUGGUAACUCUUCCGUCCAUUGUAGCUCGCGGCCGUCAUAUGAUUGAGAAUCCUCCUAAAGGAUUGCAAUUAAGUUUCGCAAUAGUUCCGGGGCCACCUCGCCGACGUCCUCAAGCUCGGCCACCAUAGCCAACCGUCGUCGGCGCCAUUACGGGAGAGGGCGGGCGGAGCUCUAGGCCUCAGGAAGCUCCGCCGUCGCUGGCCCGAGCUCGAGGCUGCGGGAAGUCGGCCGCCGCCGCUGCCCUAGGCCCGCGCAGGCCGGCCGGCGCUGCCCGCCGCUUGUCCUGGCCGGCGGAGAGGGCAGAGCACAGGAGGAGCACGUGUACUGCCCGCUCGAGCUCCACGGACGCCGGAUCCAUGUCGGCGGUGGCAAGGACGGGGCCGGGGGCGUCCCGGGUCGGGCGGCUCGCCUCGCCUCACCCAUGGCGGUGGGCGAGCGUGGUUUUGGCGCGGUGGCCUGGGGUGGAGGCAGGGUCGUGGCGUCCGGGGGACGAGGCAGGGUGCGGCGUGCAGGGAAGAAUGGGAGGGGGCUGGGUGGCGGGGGAAGGGAGGGGGCGGCGGCGCCGGUGGAGUGGGGAGGGGCGGCGGCGCCGGUGAUUUAGGGGAUGGGGAGUGAGUGCGGGCGCAAUGUUCUUUCUGGUUAUAUACUUUUCCUAUCAAUCAUAGUUAGUACACAUGGAGGGUUGAACAUAGCACACAUGGAGGGUUGAUACAACGGUGCGGUGGUGGCAACAAGAACGGUACGGUGGCGAGGACAAGAACGGUGCGGUGGCGAGAUCAGCGCCUCAUCCAUCCCAUGUUGUAUGCGACGGUGCGGUGGCGAGACCACUUCUUUUUGUUAUCCUCCCUGAGCUUCGCUCUGGACGUGCUCCAUCGACAGCCACCGGGACGCCUUCUUGCCGGGGCAGACGGGGCACCGGUAGGAAUUGUAGUGCGGGUGAUACCAGACCCGCAGGUUCGGGGCCCUGUGGACCGACACCUCGUAGCCGUGGAAGACGUCGCCCUCCUCGUCGGUGCUGACGUCCGAGCCGCUGUCGUCGUCGUCCGACGGCGGCGGAGAUUUGACCAACCAUAUAUAUAGAGGACUUCAAGAUGAAUCUAAAUGGAGCUGCUACAACAUCCAAGCCAUACAAACUCCCAUGAAAGAUAUUCAAUAUGCUUUUCGUCCACCAGCGGGAGGGCCUCUGUUGGCUCUGGGUUCUGCACUGCAGGAGAACUGGAGGAAUCCUAGGCGAUGAUAUGGGCCUUGGCAAGACGAUGUAGGUUUCAGAGGUUUGUCCCCAGUCGCCGUCGGACUCACCUGCGCCCAUGGGGCUCUUCGCGCCGUGCUACGCAGCACAGACAUCCUCAGCCUUAAGUUCCAUAUAAACUUAGGUACUGAUUGGUUCUAUGAUAACAAUGUUAACAUAUUUACGAAGAAUUUAGGGAACAAAGGGAAGUAUUAUAUUUGGUUCGCGUGAGAAAAUUGAUUAUUCACGCACUGUCACGAGCGAUAGAUGGAUGACGCUACAAAAUGAGAAAACAAAAAACAUCCUAAUAGGUCAUUUUAUAUUAUUAAAUAUGUCAUGGUCUUCAUAAAAUAAAUUUUAGAGUUCAAAUUUUAUCAAAAAAAAUAUUUUUUUCCUCUCGUAGCCACACACGGGCAUUUUUGCUAGUAAACUACCUGCUUUAUGCAUAACUAGCAAAGAUACCCGUGCGUUGCUACGGGUGAAUAUAUGCGUCUUGUGAUAUACUGAUAUCACACUAUAAUAUAUCUCUCUAUGUGUCUAUUCUUUAAAAUAUGACUUGAUAUGUAAUUUUUGAUAUCAUAUUUUAAACAAUUAAAUGGGUACCGUAACUGUACUUGAAUUUUAUUAGGUUGUUAGGGUGAUUGAGGGCCUGCUUACCGAGCCCAGCAGCCUGCUUACCGAGCCCACGCGUGGAUCCUCCAUCUCCUGGCCCUCUCCCAGCCGAAACCCUCCCGGGCCCUCCAUCUCUCCCAGCCGAAACCCUAACCCUAUCCUCGACGCCGCUUCUCCCGCGCACGCCCCCGCCGCCUUCCGCCGGAGCUCCUCCUCCCCCACCGGUGACCUCUACCGGACGACGCUCCUCCACCAUGCCGCGCUGGUACGUGGUGUUCGUAGGUUCGAUUCCUGGACUGUACGAAAAUUGGGAGGACGCCAAGGCUGCAGUGGAAGGCUACUCUGGCAACAAGCACUCAUGGUUUCCCUCGCGUGAAGAUGCCCUGGCGGCUUACAAUCAUUUUCAAGCCACAGGCAUAGUGGUUUCUAGGUGAGUCCCCCAAAAGAACCCCAAACUGGAUGUCCGACUGGAUACAUUGAUGUCUAAUAUCGUUUGCAGAUGUGUAACGCCAAAGAAGAUGUUUAAUAUCAUUUGCGGAUGUCUGUUUGCUUAUAUUUCUUAUCAGUGCUUAUUUUGCUUCACAAGUAGGCCAACACUUCUAUUGGCAAAUAGGAGGUUUUCAAAUUCAUGCCCAAGUACUCAUCACUUCUUGGGUCGUAAUUACUAUUUUGCUAGGUUCAGUUAUCAUAGCUGUUCGGAAUCCACAAACCAUCCCGACCGACGGUCAGAAUUUCUUCGAGACUUGAGCAAAACUCAGAUUGGAGAAGAAUAUGGUCCCUGGGUUACCUUUAUUGGAACUAUGUUCCUUUUUAUUUUUGUUUCAAAUUGGUCGGGUGCUCUUUUACCUUGGAAAAUUAUAGAGUUACCCCAUGGGGAAUUAGCAGCGCCUACAAAUGAUAUAAAUACUACCGUUGCUUUAGCUUUACUAACAUCAGCAGCAUAUUUUUAUGCGGGUCUUAGCAAAAAAAGGAUUGAGUUAUUUCGAGAAAUAUAUUAAACCAACCCCAAUCCUUUUACCAAUUAACAUCCUAGAAGAUUUCACAAAACCAUUAUCGCUUAGUUUUCGACUUUUCGGAAAUAUAUUGGCGGAUGAAUUAGUCGUUGUUGUUCUUGUUUCUUUAGUCCCCUUAGUAGUCCCUAUACCGGUCAUGUUUCUUGGAUUAUUUACAAGCGUCAUAUGAUUGAGAAUCCUCCUAAAGGAUUGCAAUUAAGUUUCGCAAUAGUUCCGGGGCCACCUCGCCGACGUCCUCGAGCUCGGCCACCAUAGCCAACCGUCGUCGUCGCCAUUACGGGAGAGGGCGGGCGGAGCUCUAGGCCUCAGGAAGCUCCGCCGUCGCUGGCCCGAGCUCGAGGCUGCGGGAAGUCGGCCGCCGCCGCUGCCCUAGGCCCGC